ensembl:lncRNA
AGUUUAAAAGAAGAGAUGGAGAGAUCUCUUGGCCAUGCAGAGAUUAAAGUAGAGUGUAAAGUCCACAAGCCCAGCUCUUCUCCUUAUGAGAGUGGAUGUUGUUUUACUUUGGUCCCAUGCAGUGUUGUCACUGGAUUUUAGGAGUAAUGAGAUCUCAUGACUCUAUCGCAUCGUCAAAUACUUUCAUGAAGCAAUACCACAUGCCUUGCCAAUAUAUGCUGCAUCCAAUUCUAAUUCUCAUUUCCUGCUUUUUGGGAUGGAAGAUGAUUUUGAUCACAUUCCAGCCAUCUCCUCCUGUUUUUAAGACAACAGUUAGGCAAAGGAUAUUUUUGUUGGCAAAGAGCCUGACUAGUCCUGUGGCACACACACACACACACACACACAGAGAGAGAGAGAGAGAGAGAGAGAGAGAAACUCAUAAAUAACAAUUGCACAUACUUGCAAAAAUCCCUAAAUAAAUUGAAAUCAGAAAAUGUCCCCUUACA